UAGUCAUUCCUCAGCAACACAAUCCAUCUGCGACGCUCGAGCCAUUGCAGGAGCUAUUUUGGAACGGCGUGUGGCAACUUACUUAUUUUUGGUGCACCUAAUUUCCUUCACGCUGCCUCAUCCACUCCCCCGUGCCAGGAUCAGCUCUGGAUCCCACUUUGUCAACCAGGAGGCGACAAAAUGCAGCGAGACAGAGAGGAAGGAGGAGGGCUCCUGGGGGGGGUUCCAUGUGGGCUAAACUGUGGGAGUCUGAACCACCACCGGCCCACCGAUUUCAUGUCCACUUUACAGAUUACAAAUUAGCACCACGUAUCUUUAUACCAUGGCAACAGCUGUCUUCUACAGCGGUAUUAACGGCGCUGGUCCACCGAAGCCAGAGGGCCGAUGGCGACAGUGGAUGUCGGUGCAACGUGAGCUCCACCUAGUGGUACCAAAUGGAAACUUUUGAGAGCAGAGAGCUCACACAUACUGCCAGAAUGUGCAUUUGGUCAAUCCACUGAUCAAUUAGUCCUGUUUUCUACAACAAUGGCCCAUCUUUAAGAAGCAGCGGCCUCCAUUCAAGGGGCUUUGCAAACUCCAAAGUCUACAAAAGAGCUUUCGCAGCCAAUUUAUCAGUGCUCAGAACCUAAACACCAGAGCUAACCUCCUACAAAAUGACAGUGCAUAGAUUAUUAGGAUGGCUGAAAAACUAAUAGAUUCACAUGAUUUCCUCUCAUAUUUCAAAAAAAUCUAGGAACAUAUUCUAAGAUGGCUAUAUUUAAAUUUUUACCAUUAUACAUAUCAUUAAAGAGAUAUAGUCGUGAA